rnacentral:rRNA from 1 species
UCGAAUGGGGAGAUUCAGCGUCAGCGGCGCUGGCUCGGCGAAGUGAGCGAUGUCGCGGACUACGGUACCGCGGCAGGUUAUCACUCUCGCGUCCGGUGUCGUCGUCGUGCACUUCUCCCCUAGUAGAACGUCGCGACCCGUUGGGUGCCGGUCUACGGCCCGAGAUGUAGACUGCCGCGUCGCUUCGGCGCACGCGGCAGACAUUCGGUCGCCCGGCCGGCUGCCCGGCGGUAAAAUGCACGGUAUCUGGCCGCACUUUUCGAACUGCGUCGGGCCCGCCGCAAGCGCGGCCAGUGUCCCGGAGGUACGGACCGAGCGCCGUCCCCGAGCCUGGCCAGCUGUUGGCAGGCGGAGUCCUCUGACAGGCAGAUCUUACAUGGUACCGGUCUGCGACGCUACUGCUUUGGGUACU